CGUGCAUGGAGCAUGUGCAAACCAGCUGAGCAGAGGCACAGUGAGUGGACCAAGCGUGUUGUCAGGCCACGAAAUUAAGCUUUUGAGAGACCCCAUCCCCAAAGCCAACUACAGGAUGCGUUCCGUCACCAUCCUUUGAUUGAGACAAACCUGUACACGUAGAGCUGGAGAUUCCUCUUUGAUGUGUCUGGUACCUGCUGUCCUCGCUGGAUCCUCUUCCACUACUCUAAGCAUUGAUGCCUGACUAUAGUGUGGCAUGAGUGAGUAUCCUGACUCAUCUACUUCUCUGCCUGCAGUACCAGUGAAUGUCUUGUUGCUGACACCAUAUAGCACCUGUUGGAAUCACAAAGCAUGGCACAGAAGCACACAGCAAGGCUCA